rnacentral:rRNA from 1 species
AUGGCUCAGAGUUAACGCUGGCGGCGUGCCUAACACAUGCAAGUCGGGCGGGGAGUGGCAGAGUACCGCGCUCCCAGCGGCAGACGGGUGAGUGACGCGUAGGCAACAUGCCCAUAAGAGGGAGACAACCAGCCGAAAGGUUGGCUAAUAUCCCGUAAUACCCUGGGGAGGCAUCUUUUCCGGGUUAAAGCAGCGAUGCGCUUAUGGAGUGGCCUGCGGCCUAUCAGCUGGUUGGUGAGGUAACGGCCCACCAAGGCAUAGACGGGUAGCCGAUCUAAAAGGAUGACCGGCCACAAGGGGACUGAGACACGGCCCCUACUCCUACGGGAGGCAGCAGUGGGGAAUUUUGGACAAUGGGGGAAACCCUGAUCCAGCCGACGCCGCGUGAAGGAUGAAGGUUUUCGGAUUGUAAACUUCUUUUGCAGGGGGCAAAGGCCGGCAACGGCGUGAUGGUACCCUGUGAAUAAGCCACGGCUAACUACGUGCCAGCCGCGGC